UCCUACGGGACGCAGCAGUGAGGAAUAUUGGUCAAUGGGCGCGAGCCUGAACCAGCCAAGUCGCGUGAGGGAAGACGGUCCUAUGGAUUGUAAACCUCUUUUGUCGGGGAGCAAAAGACGCCACGUGUGGCGUUCCGAGAGUACCCGAAGAAAAAGCAUCGGCUAACUCCGUGCCAGCAGCCGCGGUAAUACGGAGGAUGCGAGCGUUAUCCGGAUUUAUUGGGUUUAAAGGGUGCGCAGGCGGAAGAUCAAGUCAGCGGUAAAAUUGAGAGGCUCAACCUCUGCGAGCCGUUGAAACUGGUUUU
rnacentral:rRNA from 1 species